rnacentral:rRNA from 1 species
UUGAACGCUGAUGGUAUGCUUAACACAUGCAAGUCGAACGGCAGCACGGCAGUAGCAAUACUGUGGGUGGCAAGUGGCGGACGGGUGCGUAACGCGUAGGAAUCUGCCCUUUAGUGGGGGACAACCCAGGGAAACUUGGGCUAAUACCGCAUAAUACUGAGAAGUUAAAGGCGGAAGUCGCUAAAGGAUGAGCCAGCGUUGGAUUAGCUAGUUGGUAGGGUAAAGGCCUACCAAGGCAACGAUCCAUAGCUGUUCUGAGAGGAAGAUCAGCCACGCUGGGACUGAGACACGGCCCAGACUCCUACGGGAGGCAGCAGUGGGGAAUAUUGGACAAUGGGGGAAACCCUGAUCCAGCAAGACCAUGUGUGUGAAGAAGGCCUUAGGGUUGUAAAGCACUUUAAUCAGUGAGGAAGGUACGUGAAGAGCGUACUUGACGUUAGCUGAAGAAAAAGCACCGGCAAACUCUGU